rnacentral:RNase_P_RNA from 1 species
GAGUUGGGCAGACUGUCGCUGCGUAUUUAUUACGGAGAGGAAAGUCCGGGCUUCACAGGGCAUGACGCUGGGUAACUCCCAGGAAGAGCGAUCUUUGGCAAGCGCAACAGAAAGUAAACCGCCCAUUAUGCUUAGGCAUUUUGGGUAAGGGUGAAACGGUGGGGUAAGAGCCCACCAGUUAUUACGGUGACGUAGUAAGCUAGGCAAGCCCCGUCCGAAGCAAGACCAAAUAGAGGAAUCGAUCGGCCCGAUCUUAGGUUCCUGGGUAGGUUGCUUGAGGGUAUCGGUAACGAUACUCCUAGAGGAAUGACAGUCACGUCAUUUAUGAUGAACAAAACCCGGCUUACGCCCAAC